CUUCAGUCAAACCGUAUCUGCCUUAACGUGAGUUUUCCUUAACCCGGAACUCAUCAAAGACACAGCCAACCAUGGUCAAGGAGUGAGCAUAUCACAUUUUGGAUAAAUACGUCAAGGACCCAGGAACACAGAUCCAACAGGCAUUUCUACAAUAUUCAAUUAUAGUACAGGUUACUGAACUGGCUGAGCCCAUUUGCAAACCAGAAACUGCAAUUGCGUUUUCAAUUAACUUCUGCUGGGGAUCCAAAUAAAAAUAAGCCAUCCUCAUUUCCUGAUGAAUAAUGGAAAUCAAAGCUCUGCAAAAAGAUGCCGGCAAUUAUUAAAGAAACCCAAAGCAGUUACCGCUGCUUGUUCUACAGAUGCAAAUACUGCACGAAGGAGGAAGUGUUUUUCCUAAGAUUUCUAAUGGUGCAGACCCCAAAUAAAUCGAUAUCAGGAAAUAGCGCCUUGUUUUUAAAAUACAGAAACGCUAUUUAA